UACGUAGGUGGCAAGCGUUGUCCGGAAUUAUUGGGCGUAAAGGGCUCGCAGGCGGUCUUCUAAGUCUGAUGUGAAAUCUUGCGGCUUAACCGCAAGCGGUCAUUGGAAACUGGAGGACUUGAGUACAGAAGAGGAGAGUGGAAUUCCACGUGUAGCGGUGAAAUGCGCAGAUAUCAGGAGGAACACCGGUGGCGAAGGCGGUUCUCUGGGCCUUACCUGACGCUGAGGAGCGAAAGCAUGGGGGAGCAAACAGG
rnacentral:rRNA from 1 species